GCAGCCCUUCUUGGGCGUUUCCUCCCUAGACUUGGGCCAUGCUGGCAACAGUAUGGCCCCUUUUUUUUG
rnacentral:sRNA from 1 species